rnacentral:rRNA from 1 species
UAGGGAAUCUUCGGCAAUGGGGGCAACCCUGACCGAGCAACGCCGCGUGAGUGAAGAAGGUUUUCGGAUCGUAAAGCUCUGUUGUAAGAGAAGAACGUGUGUGAGAGUGGAAGGUUCACACAGUGACGGUAACUUACCAGAAAGGGACGGCUAACUACGUACCAG